GACGAACGCUGGCGGCGUGCUUAACACAUGCCAGUCGAACGGAAAGGCCCUGCUUUUGUGGGGUGCUCGAGUGGCGAACGGGUGAGUAACACGUGAGUAACCUGCCCUUGACUUUGGGAUAACUUCAGGAAACUGGGGCUAAUACCGGAUAGGAGCUCCUGCUGCAUGGUGGGGGUUGGAAAGUUUCGGCGGUUGGGGAUGGACUCGCGGCUUAUCAGCUUGUUGGUGGGGUAGUGGCUUACCAAGGCUUUGACGGGUAGCCGGCCUGAGAGGGUGACCGGCCACAUUGGGACUGAGAGACGGCCCAGACUCCUACGGGAGGCAGCAGUGGGGAAUAUUGCACAAUGGGCGGAAGCCUGAUGCAGCAACGCCGCGUGCGGGAUGACGGCCUUCGGGUUGUAAACCGCUUUCGCCUGUGACGAAGCGUUAGUGACGGUAAUGGGUAAAGAAGCACCGGCUAACUACGUG
rnacentral:rRNA from 1 species